AGAGUUUGAUUCUGGCUCAGGACGAACGCUGGCGGCGCGCCUAACACAUGCAAGUCGAACGGAAUCAAGAGGAGCUUGCUUUUCUUGAUUUAGUGGCGAACGGGUGAGUAACGCGUGAGUAACCUGCCCUGGAGUGGGGGACAACAGUUGGAAACGACUGCUAAUACCGCAUAAGACCACGGUACCGCAUGGUACUGGGGGAAAAGGAUUUAUUCGCUUCAGGAUGGACUCGCGUCCAAUUAGCUAGUUGGUGAGGUAACAGCCCACCAAGGCGACGAUUGGUAGCCGGACUGAGAGGUUGAACGGCCACAUUGGGACUGAGACACGGCCCAGACUCCUACGGGAGGCAGCAGUGGGGGAUAUUGCACAAUGGGGGAAACCCUGAUGCAGCGACGCCGCGUGGAGGAAGAAGGUUUUCGGAUUGUAAACUCCUGUCGUUAGGGACGAUAAUGACGGUACGUAACAAGAAAGCACCGGCUAACUACGUGCCAGCAGCCGCGGUAAAACGUAGGGUGCAAGCGUUGUCCGGAAUUACUGGGUGUAAAGGGAGCGCAGGCGGACCGGCAAGUUGGAAGUGAAAUCCAUGGGCUCAACCCGUGAAUUGCUUUCAAAACUGCUGGCCUUGAGUAGUGCAGAGGUAGGUGGAAUUCCCGGUGUAGCGGUGGAAUGCGUAGAUAUCGGGAGGAACACCAGUGGCGAAGGCGACCUACUGGGCACCAACUGACGCUGAGGCUCGAAAGCAUGGGUAGCAAACAGGAUUAGAUACCCUGGUAGUCCAUGCCGUAAA
rnacentral:rRNA from 1 species